GACGGUUCCCCGAUGCUUCGCUCUCGUUUUCGUGGCCGUCGUCGAAUUCAGAACCGCUUUGUGUCUUCAAAGACGGGCAGAAUCCCAACGCAGCAUUCACUGAUCUCAGCUUCAUAUGUCGAAGCCCUUCGCCGAUCCCCCCCCUUCAAUCCCCUGCCAAGUCCAUCCCAGAUUUGCUCGAUUCUGUGAGAUUUUAUGGUCCGCUGAUUGAUGCAUUUGGGGUUGCAGAAGCGAGCUGCGUGAUUGCGGUUUUACUAUUCCGGAGUCUAGGUUUUAGGGCAAGGAUAGAACAUUCCGAAACAGCGUUUCAGAAUUAGUCUGAAGCUGAGAAGUACUUGACCCAUUUGUGCGUGAACUUAUUUGCGGAAGGAAUUUGAAACCCUGCAAAGGAUGAUAUGGUGGUGGAUUUUGUCAGUAGUUUCUUUUGUUAUUGGACAUCUGUAGAGGUUUAAUAAUGUUGAAGCGGGUAGACAGUAUUUUGCAACAAGCACCGAUUUCAUAAUUACGAAAGAGUUUCUUUGUAUUAAUCGUAUGGCCGUGAAAAUGGCACCCGAGACCAGGGUGUUAAACUCGCUAUUUUGUAAAGCCGGACGAAUUCGGCGACGAUUAUCGGUAUUCUGUUACUCACAGUAAGGCAGGGAUAACCUUGACGUAGAUGAUUUAGCUUGAUGAUGUUUUUUUCUUUCUCAACAUUGUUGCACCAAUUCGCUGUAAAAAAUAUCUUCCCGUAUUUUAUUCGAGUGGUCGCUUCUCCAGAACGUGAUACAGACAUGCAUGACUGAUUUAGAUGCAGAUAUGGUUGUGGGAAACGAUGCGGAAGAAAUUGCAUUAGUAGUGAGGUCAUUGUGGACAGAUUUGUGAUCAGGGACUUUUUAGCUGUAAACUUCGGCAUAUAAUCUACAAACACAACUUUCAGUAGGUUGUAUUUUUCCCCCAUUGUGUUGGUAUUCGUUUUGAGCCUCAACGAAGCUGUAACCACGAACUUGAGAAAAUGGCCGUAGUUCAUCAGAUUCAUGAAAAGCUGCACAGAGAUGCCACAAGGAAAUGUUGUCCAACAGACGGGACAUUCACACAACCGUGCGUUGUUGCAUCUUUUAUCAUAAAGCACCAGUUAUCAAUAAUGAUAGGUGAAAGAGAUUCAGCCAAAGAUCUAUCAGUUGAAUUGUGCUGCAGUGUCUUCCGUUUGUUUUUUUCAGCAAGUAAUGAACCUUGUCGUUCGAGAUAAUAUCAUUGUGUUGUCUCGAUCAUGAGUAUUCUUACGAUGUUUCCUCGACAACAAUGUCAAAAACAUCGUACACUCUCUUAAGAUAUGAUGUGAAUUCCACUCUUGUAAUGAAGACAUGUGUGGAGUUUUAUCUUGACAGAAACAAGCUUGUGUGAGAAGACUUUUGGUGGCAACAGUUGGUGAGACUCUUGUGCCGAUCUGUCUGAUGUACCUCAAGGAUAAUUAAGCUGUGUGUUUCAGGACAACGCACUGUUUUUUUGGUGGGGCGAAGUUGUUGCUGCUUAAAGAUGUUCUGGGCGUUACAAUUACUUUUACUCUUCAUUGUCGUUCAUUGCACUGUACUUCAGUGUUGAUCUGCUCCAGUCAGUCAACUCUGUGACAGGUGUUGUGGCAAAAACAUGGGCAGCCUCGGGAAGCAAAUUUAGUUUCUCCAGUGCCAUUGUUCUGUUGUAGGACUGGAAUCUAGCAGUGGGAUGCAAGGCCACGACAGUCCAGCCGAAAAAUCAGCUGAGGCAUCUCUAGCAUGCACCCAAGUUCCUAAAUUGUGUAAUCAAAAAUGGGCAAAAUUUUCAGGAUCUACGGUCGUCAGCACUCACAGCUAGAUUAACCUCGAUGUGGCGAGCAGCUUGCCCAACUUUGUCCAGUAACGAGGUCUUUGAGGAUGAUACGACUCUUGUCGUACUGGGUGCCGUUUUGUGAUUCUCUUGCCACAAUGGUUAAUGGCUGAACGUCUCCCACAAAUAUUUGCAAGCAGAAAGCCAAGCAAUGGGAGUUGAGAAUUGUUUGAUUAAAAGCUGGUGAAAGCUGAGGAAGUUUUCAGCUUGUUCAUUUUCCUUCCUCCUCAGCUUGAACAUCAUGAAUGGUUGCCAGCGGCCGUCUCCGUUGUUUAAAACUUAUGAUUUAUUCAUUUAUUUAAUUUUCCAAAGCCUGACCAAUAUAUAUUAUGAAAAUCCUCUGCACUUGAAACCGUAACGUUUCGAGUCGUAGAAAUUGCGCUCUUGGAUCGUCAAACCAUUCGAGUGUCGUCGUGCCAGCACUUUUCUUGUGUCUUAUGCAGAUAUUCUGACACACUUGCAUAUCAAGUCAACCGCGUGUUGAAUAAAACUUGACCCUGAAUUUGCGCAAAA